AUGCACCAGGGCAGACUGUGCUAGACAAUCUCCAGAUUGGCGUUUGAAGAAGAGGAUUUCGGAGACGCUGCCGAUUCUCCUCCAAGGGCUGUCUGCUCUCUUUCUCUCCAGCAGCACGAACUCUGAGCGAAGAGCUAUAACUUCUAGGGUGCAGGGACCUAUAAAAGAAAAAUCCUGGGGGGUUCCUGACCUCCGAAAUCCAGGAGAAGAAAACCUUUCUGACAGGUGUUGUUAUCCAAAUUAGGAAGCCUAAUUCAGGUAAAGCUCUGUCCACCAGGGUGCAGCAGGG